UACGGAGGGUGCAAGCGUUAUCCGGAUUCACUGGGUUUAAAGGGUGCGUAGGUGGGUUGGUAAGUCAGUGGUGAAAUCUCCAGGCUUAACUUGGAAACUGCCAUUGAUACUAUCAAUCUUGAAUACCGUGGAGGUCAGCGGAAUAUGUCAUGUAGCGGUGAAAUGCUUAGAUAUGACACAGAACACCGAUUGCGAAGGCAGCUCACAAAACUGUAAACUGACGCUGAGGCACGAAAGCGUGGGUAUCAAACAGG
rnacentral:rRNA from 1 species